rnacentral:piRNA from 1 species
AAGGUAGAGCUAGACACAGAAUCC